UGCGGCUCCCGCGGCCCCACGGGCCGCGCGCUUCGAAGGAGCCGCUGCUGGGCGCGGUCCAACGGCCGCGGGGGUGGGGGCGGUCGUGUUGGGGGCCUCGCCCGUCUCCCGGGUUCCCUGAGAGCCGGACUCGAGGCUGCCACUUGGCUCCAGAGCGCGGCCAGAGUGCCGCCGCUGCCUCGGUGGGUCGCACGCCGGCGCCGACCUGGGAAAAUGACAAGGCGUCACCGGAGCGGGCCGUGACCGCCGCUGGGCAGGGGCGCACGCUCAGGACCCGACGCUGCGGGGGCGUGGGGCUGGUGAAACGCAGAGGACCGAUCCCUAGAGAUUCCCCGCUAAUAGACACCAUGACUUCUUGGAGAAAUGGCUGAUUUCUCCAGGUGUGACUUCUCCAUGGCUGAUCGCGUCUCAAGUCUGGAGUGAGGAAUGCGUGAGAUGAGCCAGACACGUCUUUGCCACAACAGCUUCUUCAUCCUCCACAAGCCCAGAGGCAAUGGUUGUGGCUGUGACAGAUUUCCCUUAGGGCUCUAGCUCCGGAGUAAGGACACCGCGUUGUCUAAUUAGAAGGCCCCACUGACCCACCGGAAUAUAAGCUCGGGAACUUCAGAGACUGUGUCUGCCACGUUUGCUGCUGUAUUCCUGGCUUCCCCCGGCACUUGGUAGGUGCUCAAUAUUCAUCGAAUGACUGCAUGACAGAGGUCUCGCUUUGACAGGGUGAAGAGUAUAGUAUCGUCAGUCAUAAAAAAGACACCGCAACUCCACCACAAGAGCUUGGCUCCUCUCUGUUUCGGAGUGAGUCGUAUCUUUACCUCUGAGGUCGCUUCCUGACCCUUUUGGAUACCAGCGCUCCCACCGCUUGGGUCAGGUGGCUGAGGAGCUGCAGGAGGUUCCUUGGUGAACCACUUUUGCGAAGGAUGCCUUGCUGCUUCCAGAGGAAGACCAGAGAGGGACUGGCCCAGCCAGGGGAGGCGCCGGAUAGUCCUUUUGCCUUAAUUCUGAGCCAGUUUGGUGACGCUUCAGAGAGGCAAGGACUAUGGCCAACCCCCAGUUCCCCUCCCUGGGGAAGCAUUCACCAUGGUGGCUACUCAGAAGAAGCAAGGACAUCUGCGGGCUCUGGGGCUCAAGACGGGUUCAUCCCCCAAAUACCAGGGAAAGAUAGCACAGGUCUGUGCAGGUGUGGGCAGGCCCUCUGCUGCUCCUGCUUCCCAUCUAGGCCCCCAACUCCCACUCCUGGGGGCCCCAAGAAAACCGGGAUGUGAGGUGCACCGUUGUAAGAACGUGAGGUACUGCCUUCAUCCUUUCAGACCCAAAUGCAGGGCAUGUUUGGAAGGUGGCAUCGUUUACGGUGGUUUCAAUGAAAUUCAGAUUUACACAAAA